ACGGGAGGCAGCAGUGGGGAAUAUUGGACAAUGGGGGAAGCCCUGAUCCAGCGACGCAGCGUGAGUGAAGAAGUAUUUCGGUAUGUAAAGAUCUAUCAGCAAGGAAGAAAAUGACGGUAAUUGACUAAGAAGCUCCGGCUAAAUACGUGCCAGCAGCCGCGGUAAUACGUAUGGAGCAAGCGUUAUCCGGAUUUACUGGGUGUAAAGGGAGCGUAGAGGGCCUAGCAAGUAUGAAGUGAAAGCCCGGGGCUCACCCCCGUAACUGCUUUGGAAACUGUUAAGCUAGAGUACAGGAGAGGUAAGCGGACUUCCUAGUGUAGCUGUGAAAUGCGUAGAUAUUAGGAGGAACACCAGUGGCGAAGGCGGCUUACUGGACUGUAACUGACGUUGAGGCUCGAAAGCGUGGGGAGCAAACAGGAUUAGAUACCCUGGUA
rnacentral:rRNA from 1 species